rnacentral:lncRNA from 1 species
AGCUACUUAGGGUUAUAUCAUAAUUGAAAACCCUAACCGCUCUUAGAGAGAGACUAGAGAGAAAACAGUUUCAAAAAAUCCAUUCCUUUUGGUGGCUAGUACCGCAAGUCCUUCUUAUUGCAGAAUCGUUCGACGGUUCAUGCGGCGUUCGUGUGGAUACCGUAGAGACGCAAUCGGUUUGUAUUGCGUUGGAGAUUCAAG